GUGUGUGUGUGUGUGUGUGUGUGUGUGGACUCAGCAGUCUGUGUGUGUGUGUGUGUGUGUGUGUAUGAAUCAAUCAUAACAAUAAAUAAAAAAGAAACCAUAGACUGCUGAGUCCAAACACACACACACAGACUG